rnacentral:rRNA from 1 species
CAGCAGCCGCGGUAAUACGUAGGUGGCAAGCGUUGUCCGGACUUAUUGGGCGUAAAGCGCGCGCAGGCGGUUCCUUAAGUCUGAUGUGAAAUCUCGCGGCUCAACCGUGAGCGGUCAUUGGAAACUGGGGAACUUGAGUGCAGGAGAGAAGAGCGGAAUUCCACGUGUAGCGGUGAAAUGCGUAGAGAUGUGGAGGAACACCAGUGGCGAAGGCGGCUCUUUGGCCUGUAACUGACGCUGAGGCGCGAAAGCGUGGGGAGCAAACAGGAUUAGAUACCCUGGUAGUCCACGCCGUAAACGAUGAGUGCUAGGUGUUAGAGGGUUUCCGCCCUUUAGUGCUGCAGCUAACGCAUUAAGCACUCCGCCUGGGGAGUACGGCCGCAAGGCUGAAACUUAAAGGAAUUGGCGGG